AGGGAAGCUGGAAGAGCCGCUGGAUCUGGGACACGGCGCUCCCCAAUAGACAUGACCCCGCUGCCCACGGGCCUGGAGUGAGCAGGGAGGCAGCAGUGCCCUGCCCACAGGCAGGGUUACAGGGCAGGCGAGCAGGCUGCUCCGAGGUAACAAAACACCGGGUGCAUGGAGCAGCCUGAGCUGCCAGGUGAGCACCGUGCCUUGGGCUUGGUGAGAGAUGCUGCUGCGACCUCGGGAGCAGAGCACCCCAUUGCCCUGCCCACAGCAUCCCACUGCCCUGCCCAGGAAACAGCUUCCUGAGGCCCUGGUCAUCCCACCCAUGGACUGGGGACUGCGGUGUGCCAUGACCCGUGCAGGAAAGCAUCACGCCAUGGCUCAAACAGGGAAGCAUCCUGAAAGAAAGCUAAAACGAGAAAUCUAUAAGAAUCUGAAAAUACAUCACUAACACAAACGCAGGACGUGUUUAGAGUUGGCUCUUCCUUGAAGUUAUCACCGUGAGCCAUCUCCCAGCACCGAGGCACUAAUCUAAUGGAGAUCACCACCGAAGCAAAAUCCUUCAGGUUGGAGGGGGACGAGGCGUGGUACGAGCAAUGAGGUUCCCUGUCACAGCAAGGUGACCCCUCUCUUCCUGGGAACAGGCCCAGCAGAACAGGGCAGCCGGGUGACAUCAUCGCACCCCAGCGAGGACACGGUGAUGUCAAAACGAAACCGAGGAGGAGGAGGAGGAGCAGCCGCAGGUUCAAGCAGAACUAUGUAAAACAAACCACUGAUGCUGCUGCAGGGA